rnacentral:rRNA from 1 species
GAUGAACGCUGGCGGCGUGCCUAAUACAUGCAAGUCGAGCGAACAGACGAGGAGCUUGCUCCUUCGACGUUAGCGGCGGACGGGUGAGUAACACGUAGGUAACCUACCUAUAAGACUGGGAUAACUUCGGGAAACCGGAGCUAAUACCGGAUAAUAUUUCGAACCGCAUGGUUCGAUAGUGAAAGAUGGCUUUGCUAUCACUUAUAGAUGGACCUGCGCCGUAUUAGCUAGUUGGUAAGGUAACGGCUUACCAAGGCAACGAUACGUAGCCGACCUGAGAGGGUGAUCGGCCACACUGGAACUGAGACACGGUCCAGACUCCUACGGGAGGCAGCAGUAGGGAAUCUUCCGCAAUGGGCGAAAGCCUGACGGAGCAACGCCGCGUGAGUGAUGAAGGUUUUCGGAUCGUAAAACUCUGUUAUUAGGGAAGAACAAACGUGUAAGUAACUGUGCACGUCUUGACGGUACCUAAUCAGAAAGCCACGGCUAACUACGUG